rnacentral:rRNA from 1 species
GACGAAGGGGGCAAGCGUUGUUCGGAAUUACUGGGCGUAAAGGGCGCGUAGGCGGCCACCGCAAGUCGACUGUGAAAUCUCCGGGCUUAACCCGGAAAGGUCAACUGAUACUGCGAGGCUAGAGUGCGGAAGGGGCAACUGGAAUUCUCGGUGUAGCGGUGAAAUGCGUAGAUAUCGAGAGGAACACCUGCGGCGAAGGCGGGUUGCUGGGCCGACACUGACGCUGAGGCGCGAAAGCUAGGGGAGCGAACGGG